GUACCCCUCCCCACCUUCCCUCCAGCGAAGGUUAGUCUUCAAUGAUUGUAAGUUUAGGGUUCCUAACCGUAAACACGAACCAAACAAGUAUCGCUUCUAUGCCUAUGGUAACGCCGCCUCUCUAUUCGUCCAAAUGGGUGCCUACUGUGGCGGCCCCAAAACCUUUGCCGUCGUCGGCCUCGCCUCCAAGCCCCUUCACGUCUAUAGCCGUCCCUGGUUCAAAUGUGAGUGGAUCUCCAACAAUCGCUCCUCCCCCUCUAUUAAGACCAAGGCCUAUAAAAUGCUUCAAUACGUAGGCUUCUUUGUUUCUGCCAGAGCCCGCCUCCAUGGCCAUGGCUUCAAUAUGUAGGCUUCUUCAUUUCUGCUCAUCCUCACACGUCUCUAUCUCCAAAUUUCCUUGCUCUUUCAUUUCAUUUCUUAAUCAGAUUUUGAUUACUUGUUUUGGUUUCGUAAUCAUUGAUGUUCUUAAUAUUUUUACCUGAGAUUUCUCUUGCAGAGAACAAGCUUGACUCUUACAGGAGCAUGAGAAGGCUUCGGAUUCAGAGCAGUUUGUAAGAGAUUUAGUGCAACAAUUCCGUCUAAGGAAACUGGUUUGAAGUGUGAAGCUGGGUAUCGACAAACUGAACGAGAUGUGAUUGAUGAUGAGUUUACAAAGAUCGGUCAAGAAUUCGAUGCUGCUAAACAGAGGUUUCUUAAGAUUCCGGAGGCACUCAAGCAAAUGCCAAAAAAUUAAUCCUAAAAGUUGCUUUUUAUCCUUUUCUUUGUUUUUCUUUGCUUCAUCAAAUUCCUUAAUUUAGAUUUGUAUGAUUUUUUGAGCUAAGUAUUCUUAUUUC